AAGAUGAAAUUUCUGGUAGAUUUCUAAAUUAAAUAUAUUAAUUUGUAUGCUUCUGUUAGUAUCCUUGAAAUAUCAGCCUUCCCUGAUUACUCUUCACUGUGACCUCUAUUGUUUUCAAUAUUGCCCUUGGGCUGGAUUUCCUUGUCCUACUCCAAAUAAAGUCAACCCCUUCAGGCAGGGGCCCUGAACAGCCAGUCAUCAAGGUUUGCCGGGCCUGCGAGGACAGAACCUCUUUAGGACAGAGUUGGAGCUUCAGGGAAGUGGGAAUAGGAGCCACCAGUCCUUCCCGUCCCCAUGGCCCAGUCUUGGAGUGGAACUGCCUUGCCAGGGAGUAGGAGUGGGGCUCACAGGAGCAAUGGGAGUCACUGGUCCUCACAGGCUGCCCUUCAUGUCUAGGAUGAGACUUCUACUGAAGUGGAAGUUUCGCCCAGGAUUUUGUUAGCACAUAGUCAGCAACUUCCCUGUUUUAAAACUGCCCCUGUUUUUCUAAUAACCGCAUCUUUCUGCUUCUGUACCUCAGCUUAUUGCUUACCAGCUAAAAACCUUCAGGAAAACCGCCGCAUCGUCUAAACCUGCUGCACUGUCUGAAGCUCUGAGUUACUCCCGGGCCCCUUCACCUGUGAAAACCGUGGGCUGUUCUUAGCCGCGUCCAGAUUCUGGGCGUAGUAAAGAGUGCGCCUCCGUUCCCCUGACGGCCGCCUGGGUUUCCUGUCAGGUAACACUUUCCACAUUUGGUUCCCUGACCGGCCCCUUGAGCCGCCGGUUUGGGGUCAGAAAGGACGGACAGCUCGCCUGUGCCCCACCGGGGAACCAGGCAGCUCCCCGCCCCCUAAGCUGCUCCAGGGCCUCCUUCCCUGGAAGCGGAACCACUGCUGCUCCGGCGUUGCUGCUGGCCGGACGCGCGGGGGAGACGGACUGAACUGAGGGGAACUCCGGAUGAGGAAACCCGCUGGCUGACCGAGAAGCUAAGGCAGCCGCACUGAAGAAAGGGCCUGUGCAGGCCCCGAGCACUUGUUCACAGUCACCCCUUGGCUCCGAGAGGAUGUGGGGAAGCUGGAGUACUCUAAGGAAGAAAACCAGUGGGCACAGCAGGAGGGGGCAAAGCAGAGUGCCGGGGGAUGGUGGCCACUCCCUGACAACAGACCAGUGGUCCCUAAGAACUUGGCUCACACCGUCGUUGCUGAGUGCCAUGGUCUCACCCACCUAGGUAAACAGCUCUGGAGAGCUUACUCAACAGGUAUGACUAUAAUGCAACCCUCCCCACACUCUGCGCUGCAGUAAGCAAUCAGUGCCUUACCUCUGCUAAAAACAACCCCUCUCAGCGGCUGAAACCUGCCCCAGGGGUGCAACAGGUGGGCGGCUACCCCUCUGAGGACGUAGAGGUGGACUUCACUGAAGUCAAGCCCAGUAAAGGGUACAAAUACCUACUGGUCCUUGUAUGUACAUACUGGGGCUGGGCUGAGGCACUCCCAACCAAGACAGAGAGAGCCCGAGAAUUAGUGAGAGUCCUACUUUGUGAAAUUGUUCCCCGGUAUGGGAUUCCACUCACCAUACACAGUGACAGUGGGCCAGCAUUUGUGGCGGAGAUCAUCCAAGCCCUCACCAGCGUGCUCAAGAUUAAGUGGAAACUUCACACAGCCUACAGGACGCAAAGUUCAGGAAAAGUGGAGCGCAUGAAUCGAACUCUGAAGGUUACACUAGUAAAGCUCUGUCAGGAAACGCAGGCUUCCUGGUUAGAUAUGCUUCCCCUAGCCCUGCUGUGGUCAUGGUGUACACUAGGACCUGCCGGCUACUCACCCUUUGAAAUCCUAUUUGGGAGGCCCCCCUCUGGUUAACAAAGUGAGGGGGGACCUCAGACAGCUAGGGGAAACAAGCGUGAUGUCCCAGCUGCAGGCAUUGGGGAAGGUGCUGUCCCAGCUCAGUCAGUUUGAAAUAGAAAGAGCACCUAUCUCCCUAGCCAAUCCAACUCAUCCCUUCCAACCUGGGGUCCAGGUCUGGUUGAAAGAUUGGAAUAAGGAACCCCUUCAGCCUGUCUGGACAGGGCCUCAUACUGUAAUCCUUGUCACCCCAAAUGCUCUCAAAGUUUCAGGAGUCGUUCUGUGGGUACAUUAUUCCAGAGCCAAGAGGGCCCACCCGGACACGUCGCUGGACUGGUGGACUGCACAUCAGACCCUCGGCACCCCAUGAAAAUCAGGCCCCAGGGCUCUGAAUCCUGAGAACUCAUCAAGCCCUCCUGUAGUCACACAACCAGAAGCUGACUAGUCAAGGCACGGCCGAAGCUUGGGGAGCCUCCACUGAAUCAGCAAAUGUGGACUGAAAUCUUAGUACUUGGAACUAUUCUGACAGCAUUUGUUGUUCUAUUGUUGUGCGGUCAUCCUUGUUGUCCCUUGAGGGACGUUCCUUGUCCAUGUCUGGUGUAAAAUGUCACUUCCUGUUUUGCUAUUAAUAAUCUUCUUGGCCCUUGCCAUCAGCCCUUGUCUAAUUAACAUACUUUGGUGCGUCAUUGAAGCCAUGGUCAUUAGAAAAACAAAUGCUCAGUUGCUGGCCCUCAGUGGGUACAAGCCGCUAAAUACAGGCAGCAGGGUGUAAAGGUGAUGCUCCCUAAUAUCCAUAAGAGAGCAUCAGAGGGGGGAUGAAGUGGAAGUUUUGCCCACGAUUUCUUUAGCACAUAGUCAGCAACUUCCCUAUUUUAAAACUGGCACUGUUUUUCUGCUAAUAACCGCCUCCUUCUGCUUCUGGACCUCAGCUUAUUGCUUACUAGCUAAAAACCUUAAGGAAAACUGCUGCGUCGUCUAAACCUCCUGCGGUGUCUAAAGUUCUGAGUUUCUUCCCCUGCCCCUUCCCCUAUAAAAACUGUGUACUUUUCUUAGCCGGGGUCCAGACUUUUGGGUGUGAACCCUUCUGGGCCAGCUGCCAUAAUAAAGUGUGUUCCUC